GUGAAGUGAAUGGUAUUUAGCACCAGGGACAGGUGUGUUUGGCUAUGUGUGGAUGAUGUUCAGCACCAAGGACAGGUAUGUUUUCCU
rnacentral:pre_miRNA from 1 species